rnacentral:rRNA from 1 species
AGCGGAGGAAAAGAAACUAACAAGGAUUCCCCUAGUAGCGGCGAGCGAAGCGGGAAGAGCUCAAAUUUAUAAUCUGGCACCUUCGGUGUCCGAGUUGUAAUCUCUAGAAGUGUUUUCCGCGUUGGACCGCACACAAGUCUGUUGGAAUACAGCGGCAUAGUGGUGAAACCCCCGUAUAUGGUGCGGACGCCCAGCGCUUUGUGAUACACUUUCAAUGAGUCGAGUUGUUUGGGAAUGCAGCUCAAAUUGGGUGGUAAAUUCCAUCUAAAGCUAAAUAUUGGCGAGAGACCGAUAGCGAACAAGUACCGUGAGGGAAAGAUGAAAAGCACUUUGGAAAGAGAGUUAACAGUACGUGAAAUUGUUGGAAGGGAAACGCUUGAAGUCAGACUUGCUUGCCGGAGCUUGCUUCGGUUUGCAGGCCAGCAUCAGUUUUCCGGGGUGGAUAAUGACGGUUUGAAGGUAGCAGUCUCGGCUGUGUUAUAGCUUUCCGUUGGAUACAUCCUGGGGGACUGAGGAACGCAGCGUGCUUUUUGCGAAAGACUCGUCUUU